GUCUAUGGCCAUACCACCCUGAAUACAACUGAUCUCAUACAAUCUUGGAAACUAAGCAGGGUUGGGUCUGGUUAGUACUUGGAUGGGAGAAUGCAGAGAAGAGAAAAGGACCCUCAUGUACU
rnacentral:rRNA from 1 species